UACGGGGGGGGCAAGCGUUGUUCGGAAUUACUGGGCGUAAAGGGCGCGUAGGCGGCCAGGCAAGUCAGAUGUGAAAUCCCGGGGCUUAACUCCGGACGUGCAUUUGAAACUGCCUAGCUAGAGUGCAGUAGAGGUUGGUGGAAUACCCAGUGUAGAGGUGAAAUUCGUAGAUAUUGGGUGGAACACCGGUGGCGAAGGCGGCCAACUGGGCUGCAACUGACGCUGAGGCGCGAAAGCGUGGGGAUCAAACAGG
rnacentral:rRNA from 1 species